GAUGAACGCUGGCGGCGUGCCUAAUACAUGCAAGUCGAGCCAACGGACGAGAAGCUUGCUUCUCUGAUGUUAGCGGCGGACGGGUGAGUAACACAUGGAUAACCUACCUAUAAGACUGGGAUAACUUCGGGAAACCGGAGCUAAUACCGGAUAAUAUUUUGAACCGCAUGGUUCAAAAGUGAAAGACGGUCUUGCUGUCACUUAUAGAUGGAUCCGCGCUGCAUUAGCUAGUUGGUAAGGUAACGGCUUACCAAGGCAACGAUGCAUAGCCGACCUGAGAGGGUGAUCGGCCACACUGGAACUGAGACACGGUCCAGACUCCUACGGGGGCAGCAGUAGGGAAUCUUCCGCAAUGGGCGAAAGCCUGACGGAGCAACGCCGCGUGAGUGAUGAAGGUCUUCGGAUCGUAAAACUCUGUUAUUAGGGAAGAACAUAUGUGUAAGUAACUGUGCACAUCUUGACGGUACCUAAUCAGAAAGCCACGGCUAACUACGUG
rnacentral:rRNA from 1 species